AACGAACGCUGGCGGCAGGCUUAACACAUGCAAGUCGAACGCAUCCUUCGGGGUGAGUGGCAGACGGGUGAGUAACGCGUGGGAACGUGCCCUUCAGUUCGGAAUAACCCAGGGAAACUUGGGCUAAUACCGGAUACGUGCGAGAGCAGAAAGAUUUAUCGCUGAAGGAUCGGCCCGCGUCUGAUUAGCUAGUUGGUGGGGUAAUGGCCCACCAAGGCGACGAUCAGUAGCUGGUCUGAGAGGAUGAUCAGCCACAUUGGGACUGAGACACGGCCCAAACUCCUACGGGAGGCAGCAGUGGGGAAUAUUGGACAAUGGGCGCAAGCCUGAGCCAGCCAGGCCGCGUGAGUGAUGACGGCCUUAGGGUUGUAAAGCUCUUUCGUCCGGGACGAUAAUGACGGUACCGGAAGAAGAAGCCCCGGCUAACUUCGUGCCAGCCGCCGCCGUAA
rnacentral:rRNA from 1 species